CAAAGCUGAGGCAGGAUCCCAGGCUCAUUAGCAAUGUAAAUAGACCUAGCCGCUGUGCUUCAGCCAGCUGGGCAGCAGCACUCAGCUGCUCUUUGGUUAUCACAGGAAUUGUCAUAAAUGAGCAUGAAAUCCUGAGACUGAGGCUACUGUAUUACAAGGCCUUUCUUGAGAGGGCACAAGUGAAAGGAUUUAUUGAGGGACUUUCACAUUCAAAAAGAUUAACUUGAACUUUCAUCAGUUUGGAGGAAUGGGGAACCUGGUGUGAUUGCUAGUUACGACAUACUCCUGUGCUGUGAUAGCAGGAAGCCCCAGGCUAAGCAUUGCUAACAGCAAGAACACUUUUAAGGCUGCUCCAGGAGUAGACAAGUACCACGCAUGGCAUGUGUAUAUGUUAUCCCCUCCUCAGACUUUCUGUUGCUCAUUCUCCUUCUUGUGGAGGAGAGUUGCACUCCUGGCAGCCUUCCUCUGCAAUCUAAAACACUGUCUUUGAGCUCCUCUUGUCCUGAGACAACAGGGAGCCCUGUCAGCACUAGAGGAAUCAAGCAUUUCUGGAGAAAGUAAGAAAACCCCUGACAAUAAAAAGAAGAUCUAGCAGGAGAAAUAAAUUGAGAUAGUGGUGGAAAGAGGAGGAGGACCAUGAAGAGAAAAUAUAAAGGCAGAAGAAGAGAGAGGAUCAAAAGGGAGGGGAGAUGAAAAGCAAGAGCAGAACUGUAGGGGAGAGAACAAGGAAAGCACUGCAGCAGCAACAGAGCUUAGAGAAUACAAGAAAAAAAAAAAAAAAAUCCACAAAAAAACACAGUGUUGGUAUGUUCAAAAUUGACUUUUCCUUAGCUGUGUGGAGCAUCAGUAUGUCUAAUUUAGUUUUCAUGUGUACAUAGUGGGAAAGCAACAAUCUAACAAUCUCGGCUAUUAUUUUAAUGCAAAAUGCCAAGAUCGACAGUGAGACUUUGCCCUACGCAACGGUAGAUGUCUUGUCUCCUUUGGGGACAAAAGACUACACUUUCCUUUGUCAGGUCUAAACUUACAUCCUGAAGCUACUCUAUGCCUUGCAGAAAAAAUAUGGAACCAGAUGUAUAAGCUGUGUCACACACGACCUGCAGUCAAUUCCUGCCUGCUCACAUUUGCCCAAGAAAAAGAUAAAUAUUCCUUUGAAAGCAACAGAGAGAUUGGGUAUCUGCCUUUUUGUAUUACCUUUAAGAGUAAGAAGAUAAGUGGUGCUUUAUUUUUUAUCUUUUAAAGUGCCAUUUAACUUUCCCAAGCAGCUGAUUACAUAUUAGGAAUGCAAGGAUAGGAGGGUGCUUUUUGUCUUAUCUCUGUGAUUUAUUGUUGAACUCUCAAAUCAUUGGAUUCAGCCACCUGAAACUCUUACCUUAACAGAACUGAAAUGUGCUUAUGAUUUUGAUUUAUUCUAAAAAUAUGUAUUUUUUAUUAUGGAGUACAAAUUUAGUAUAAUGGCUUUCAGAUCCCUAAGGAGAAGUUUUUCCAGCCUGAUUCACGUAUUAAUAUUGUUAGAGAAUAUAUUUUCCCUUAUGGUUUUAAAGCCCAGGUUCUCAAAACCUGAGCUUAAGAAAAUCCAUCUGGAACUUGAGAGUUACUCUAUAAGGAAGUCAUAUUUGUAAGGUGCUGAGACAGAUGCCUGCAGACCACACAGUCUGUAUCCAAUGGAAAACAGCACCUUCAUAUUAGCAAUACUGAAACAAAGUACAUCUAAUAUGUAGUUUUAUAAAUGUUUCAUUUCUCCUUUUUUUUUUGAGCAACAUUUGUUUUAUGUCUGCUUCCCUAAGGUAAUGGGUACGGCACUGUGUGAUUCAUCACAAUAUGACAUGACAAGAAAAAUACCUCAAAGAUACAAUAUGGUUAUCGGAAAAAUAUGGUCCUUUUUGAUAUUAAAAACAUAUAAGGACGUAGUCUAGAGAUGUAAAUGCACGUUACUCCCAUUGGGACUAAAUGUCAUUUCUGUUUGGAUAACAAGUGAAGAGUGUAAAUGCUUUAAAUUGUCAGUGAAAACACAUGACAUGAUUUAUCAUGGUCUGCUGACUUAAAUCACCUCCUUUGGUCUGUGAGUAGUGUUUAACCACUAGCAUGAACAAAUACAGGGCUGAACGCUGCUGUCUGCACUCUGGAGGGGAGAAGAACUCUGCUGAGGUUUGGAGACACUGCUGUACCCCAGCUCAGGCUCCUGCUUCAGCUCAUAGGGAAUUCCCUGCAGCUUGUAUGUGGCUGGGCCACUGCUAUUUCCUACGUGAAAGUAUUGCUUCACUCUCUGGGAGCUGCUCUGCUGCUAACAGAGCUCCUCCUCCAUCUAAUCAGAAGUCACCUUGUUCUCGCUAGCAAUGUUCCCUGCUAUUUUGGGGAACAUCACAGUAGGUGUUUCCCUGUCGUGGGGCUGGACACUGCAUGUUCCUGCUCCUCAACAAGAUGGCGAGAGAAAAAGGGGAAAAGGUUCAUAGGUUGAGAUAAAGACAGGGAGGUUGGUUACUG